GGCCCCCUCCUUCAUGCUGCUGCCUGCCCAGAAUCUGAGGACAGCAGAGCUCUGCCUCAGCCAGUGCAUGGCCCUAGGGAGGAGGCGCUUAGGGGCAGGCAUGGAGAAUAGGGCCACAGCCCUCCUCUGUGCGGGAAGCCAGGCUGUUGCUGGAAAGGACCCAGAGGCCGAGGAGGUUCCUAUCUGUCCCACCUGCCCCUGGGGUGCAGUGUUGGAGGAGCUCUGUGGGGUUGGAUGGGGUGGCCAGACACAGAGAGAGGCCUGGCAAAACCACCAAUGCUGAAACUAAAGGUACUCCAGCCGACGUGUUUAUUCAGGUCACUUGGGGUUCAGACCCAGCGCGCUGGGAGUGGGGUGCAGCUGGCAGGUGGGCUCACAUCCCAGCGUGGCUGCCAGGGAGGUCCUCAGCCUUAGAGCUCUGCCCAGGGAUGGGGUCAUACAGGAUUAGCUUCUGGGCUGCACACAGAGAGGCUACUAGAGACCCUUGUUUUGAAC
rnacentral:lncRNA from 1 species